CAGUGUGAUAGCUGUUUUAGAAUUUGUAUAGCAGGUUUUCCAGUUCUCACCAGAAAAUCCCC
rnacentral:snRNA from 1 species